GCAAAUAUCCCAGCUUCUCUUCUUCUUUCCUCUUGUUAUUCAGAAAAUAAUGUCGUUCUAAUUCCAUCGGCGAGAAAUCGAUUCAAUCAGAAAGUCAAUCUAGGUUGUCUAUUCUUUAGAUGCUCUCUGGUCGUAUGCGUAUUGUUCUAUUAUGUCAUUCUCUGUUGUUAUGUCUUCGUUGGCUUGUGUUCUAAGACCAUAUAUUUCAUCAGCAAGUUAACAAGUCGACUCCAUCUGCAAGCUUUGAGAUGGAUUUCAUCAGCAUGCUAGUUUGGAGAUUUCGAUGUGGUUUAGGGUUGAUCUCGUCUCCCAAAAACUAGUGGGUAAGAUUUCUUUAAAAAUUAUCUUUUUGUUUAAUAGGUUGCAAUUUGGAUUCUCUGGAAUUCCUUUUCGUCUUAAGGGAAUGCGCUUUUUAUUCUAGUUAUAUUUUUCAUUUGUUUGUCAAUUUGACAUUUGUGUGUAAUGUUUAUUACAAGAACUGAAAGUUCUAUAUCGUAUAUACUAUGGAGUUUUAAUGGAACAUACCUUACCCCUACCCUUGGGUAGAGAGUAUGUUUUCAAAUAGACUCCCGGCAUCCUUCCCUCCACGAACUUUCCACUUUGCUCUUAGGGAGAUUCGAACUCACAACCACUCGAUUGGAAGUGAGAGUUGCUUACCAUUAGAGCAACCCCUCUUAUCUCAACUUCCCAC
rnacentral:lncRNA from 1 species